GUAUAAUUUGUUAUUUUAUUAUUUAUUACAUUAAAUAUUAUUUAAAAAAGUACUAAUACUUAUAAUAAAUUAUUCAUUUCUGAAAGUAAAAAAAAAAAAAAACAAUAGGAAGGUAAUAGAGGGGGAAAAAUCUUAAAUUGGCAGAUUUUCAGGGGUAGAAAACCUGUGGCAAUUUUUAUAGUGUCUUUAAAUAUCAGCUUGAAAAAAAGUUAAUUUCUUUCUUCUUCCCUCUUUCUUUCGGGGAUCUUUGGCAACUUCCAGCUCGUCCUCCACAGAAUUCAGAUGGCUUCACCAUCAAGAUUGCUUCAAGCUUCGAGUCUGGCUGCGUCUGCUCUGACCGCAUUAGCUCUCCAUCAACCCCAUAGUGUCCCACACAACCCAAAUGCUGCUCUCCAAACCUCCCAGCGCUCCUGUCCGGCCGCUGUGCACUUCCUGCCCCUGCUCAGCUUCCACAUCCGCACACCCUCAGUCGCUGGAGAGCUCAGGGAAAGACCUCGCUCCACGGCAGCUCACUGUCGGGAUGGUCUGGCUCCAGUCUGGAGGAGUCUCUCAGCAGACAUCAAAGCGCUCUGUCAUAUGGUGUGCUACAGCAGCGAGGCUCUGAAAGGGGUUUUGUGUCAUCAGGAGGACAUCUCCUCAGUGCCUCUGAACACUUGAACGGGGAGACGCAGACACAGCUGCCUCUUCUCAGGAGGAUCCUACAGCUGGCAGAUCCGGCCUUCACUACCAUCGCUGGCCAGAGGCGGGCGCUAGAGAGCGCUUGUUUGAAAACGCUUAGUUCGCUAGUCGAGAGAGCACAGGACAACCAGCUCUUGAGGUUAAGGAUCAUCCAUAUACUGUCAUACUUUUUGUUCACAUUUUGAAUUAGAUUUUAUUUUUCUGUUUUCUGUUUGAAAUGUAAUUUUAGUUAAAGUUUUAGUAAUAUUGUUGUUGUUUUUUAUGAGUUAUUUUUUCUUUAUAGUUUUUCUUUUUUAUUAUUAUUGUUAUAUUUUUUACUACUUAUUAGUUUUAGUUCAUUGCGUGUUUGGACUCCCUAAAAUUAAACUAAACCAAAAUGAGGAAUAUUGGUUAAGUGCCGAUUGUGAUCUAAAAUAUUCAAUGAGAAAUCAUGUAUAAUAGAUGUUAUCUCAAUUCUUUGGUUUUGGAUUGAAUUGGCUAGUACAAUCCAGCGUUCUCAACAUCUGUCGAUUUUAAUUAUGACUAACAAAAUUUGUACUAUCUUGAUUAUUUGCUUAGACUGUGUAAUAUAAGACAUAAUACAAUUAAAUGUAAAUGGAUUACUUUUUUAUGCAGUAAAUGAAAUGUGCAAUGUAGUGAUGUCGUGUGACUAAUGUAGCAUCCUACUCUUUGAUACUAUAUACUGUAUUCAUGUUGCAUACUGUGUUCUGUUUCUCAUGAUACUUUGAAAAACAGACGGAAGAACAACCGUUUUAGUCUUCUGAGGAACACAUCCGUCAGCUGCAUACGUUGUUGAGGCAACCUUGUUUCCGAAAAGUAAAUAUUAUAUUCCAAAGAAAGAAAGAAAUUAGUAAUUUACACCUCCAAUAAUAACAGUUAACUUUAGAAUGAUUACUUCAGAAAUUAGACGUCCUCAAUGCUGUGUGAGACCAGCAGAUGUGACCUCUGGAGGGACAGCUAGUAUAUGUAGUAUUUUGUGCAGUAGUCAGUAUUUCAUUUCAAACAAAGACUUUAUUUAUUUUUAAAUAUUAUUUUGGUAAAUAGUAAUGAUGAUCAAACUAAUUAAACUGCCGUCUCAUUUCUCAAAUGUAGACUCCAGGUGGUGAUGUCAAGUGUUGUCUGACUCUAGUCCUACAGUAUUGUCCAUCUGUCUGUGAGAUUUCUGUCAUUUAUCGUCUUUAAUGAAGGGUUGGCCACUUAACUCUACUUGCAUGAAUACCAGAUAAAUCUGCUUCUGAGGAUGUGUGGACUCGCUUAGUACUAGAGGUCAUCCGGUUAAUAACCACACUGUUCACAUGGAGAACAGAAACAAGGGCGGCUUUGUGUGGUGUGGACAGUUGUGGUUUUACACAGACAAUGACUGAAAACAAAAGGCAGAGGAAGUCAGACAGUGGGUUAUCAGAGCUGGACGGGUCCUGGAUUGCAGGUACUGUGAGAAGCUCUGAUGUUACUGCACUGGCUACUGUUGAAGGACUCGUCUAUUUCCGAACACUGAUGUCCUGCACAUGUACGAUCAGUUUAUUCCCACCAUUAGAGACACGUUCUGUCUGGUCCCAGAUCUGUCUGAGAGCGAAGGUGGGUUUGUGUCUCUACAUUCGAUUAAAGUAAUUGAUGCUAACGUCAUUUUGAUUAGCUUGAACAUUUGUUAUUGCACAUUUAACAUCCUGUAUAUGAAACAUUUAUCUUGAAAUUAGUCCAUUGUAGUGCAUCAAACUGCAUUAUAUCAGGGGAGAACUGGCUCUGCUCUGGAGGAG